rnacentral:tRNA from 1 species
GCUCAUCUAGCUUAGUCGGCAGAGUUCAAGGCUUUUAACCUUAAGGUUGUGGGUUUGAGCCCCAUGGUGGGUG